rnacentral:rRNA from 1 species
CCGUUAAUAUCAGCAGGAACACCAAAUGCGAAAGCAGCUUGCUAGUACGUGCCUGACGCUCAGGGACGAAAGCGUGGGUAGCGAAUGGGAUUAGAUACCCCAGUAGUCCACGCCGUAAACGAUGGAUGCUAAGCAUUGGCAGUAUCGACCCUGUCAGUGUUGUUCACCUAAGCUAACGCCUUAAGCAUCCCGCCUGGGGAGUACGAGCGCAAGCUUAAAACUCAAAGGAAUAGACGGGGACCCGCACAAGCGGUGGAGCAUGUGGUUUAAUUCGACGAUAAGCGAGGAACCUCACCUAGGCUUGACAUCUGGCUGCAGACCCCGGGAAACCGGGGAGCCUUCGAGGGUGCCAGACAGGUGCUGCAUGGUUGUCGUCAGCUCGUGCCGUGAGGUGUACCGUUAAGUCGGGAAACGAGCGCAACCCCUACCCUAUGUUUCAUGUGUCAUAGGGAACUGCCCGCUUUAAGUGGGAGGAAGGUGGGGACGACGUCAAAUCAGCAUGGUCCUUACGCCUAGGGCGACACACGUGCUACAAUGGGGAGCACAAAGGGACGCCAAACCGCGAGGUGGAGCAAAUCCCACAAAACUCCUCUCAGUUCGGAUUGGAGUCUGCAACUCGACUCCAUGAAGCCGGAAUCGCUAGUAAACGCGCAUCAGCCAUGACGCGUUGAAUACGUUCUCGGGUCUUGUACUCACCGCCCGUCACGUCAAGAGAGCCGGCAAUACCCGAAGGCCGCGUCUGACACGGACGAAGGUAGGGCUGGUGAUAGGGACGAAGUCGUAACAAGGCAUCCGUAGCGGAAGCUGUGGAUG